rnacentral:rRNA from 1 species
CUUAAAUUGAAGAGUUUGAUCGGCUCAGAUUGAACGCUGGCGGCAGGCCUAACACAUGC